UACGUAGGGCGCAAGCGUUGUCCGGAUUUAUUGGGCGUAAAGAGUUCGUAGGCGGUGUGUCGCGUCGGCCGUGAAAACCUGCAGCUUAACUGUGGGCUUGCGGUCGAUACGGGCAUCACUGGAGUUCGGCAGGGGAGACUGGAAUUCCUGGUGUAGCGGUGAAAUGCGCAGAUAUCAGGAGGAACACCGGUGGCGAAGGCGGGUCUCUGGGCCGAUACUGACGCUGAGGAGCGAAAGCGUGGGGAGCGAACAGG
rnacentral:rRNA from 1 species